GGGUCAUUAGGUUGGUCGUGCCACCGGUACGUACUGGUCACACUGAUUCCUCCUUCCUGAAGAACCGUAAUGCCAUUAAUUUGGUGUUGCGGGGAAACAGGACUGUUACUUUGAAAAAAUUAGAGUAUUUAAAGCAAGCUAACGCUUGAAUACAUUAGCAUGGAAUAAUGAAAUAGGACGAUCGAUCCUAUUUUGUUGGUUUCUAGGAUUGACGUA
rnacentral:rRNA from 1 species